AGCAGGAGGAAGAAGAAGAAGAAAAAGAAAAAGAGAAAAAAAAAUUGCUCCUGCAGGAAGAAGAAGAAGAAGAAGAGCCCGCCUGGCGGUGCUUCGGCGGCGCGCCCGCCUGGCCUUCGCUUUUUUUUUCGGCGAAAAAAAAAAGAAUGAGAGAACCAAGAGGAGAGAGAAAGAGGAAAGAGAAAAAGUAAUAAGGGUAUUUUGGUCAGUUUGCUAAAAAAGCGGACCGAAUUUGCAAAAACGAAAAAGGUGAUCCGGUUUUACAAAGGCCCAAAAUAAGUGAAUUUUUUAUGCAAAAAGGCCAAAAAGGAAUAGCAAAUUUUAUUGUCGUUUCCAUCUUCAUCUUUUUUAUUAUCCACAUAUUUCGAAAGUUCAAGAAGUUUUUUAUAAUUCACGAAUAAUUCGGCUAUAAUUCGGCAAUGAUUCGGAAAGGAAUUAUAGAAAAAAAAAGUUGCGCGUUAUUUUAUCCGAAUAGUUCAGGAUACGCGAACUAUUCGCUAAUAAUAAAUCUAACCAAAAAAUUCGCACAUUAUUCCGAUUUUUUGAGAAUAAAUCAUAUACAGACCGUUUUAUUCGGAUUUUUAAUAAUUCACGGAUAAUUCGCAAAUAAUUCGUGAAGUAACUAACUAUGCUCAAUGCUUCGGGACCACUAUCACCCUAACCACACAUCCCUUCAUCCAAGAAUUGAUGCUAUUAAUAGUAUUCUAGUCUAGUCCAUAGUUAAGUGAACUUUAUAAAUUUUUAUUCAAAAGAAAAAGACAAAUGCUGCUCGUUCACAACAAUUGAGAUGUAUAUUUUACACUUCAUUCAUCUAAGAAAUAGGAUAUUUUUACUAGUUACGUCAAGUGACUAGUUAGCUAUACGUACUCAAUGGAUGGGAGGGAUAUAAAAUAUAACACACUUUGCUUGUUUUUUUGGAUAUAAAAUAUAACACACUUUGCUUGUUUUUUUGGAUAUAAAAUAUAGCACACUUUGCUUUUUUUUUUUGGACAAGAAUAGUAUUUAUCAAUAUAUUUAUAUACAGCUACUGUUGAAUAUGAUCUAUACUACUUGAAACAUCCAUAAACAAAAUUUUAUACUUUUUCGAUAUAUAUAUAUAGAGUUCGGCUACUAUGCUAUUAAUAGCACGAAGCAUUUGGUGCUACCAAGUUUUCCGCCGUUAGAUCUACCAUUUUGAUCAUUUUCACCAGUUAGAUCAUACUAUUCAACCAACCACCCACUCAACCCUAGGG
rnacentral:lncRNA from 1 species